rnacentral:rRNA from 1 species
UACGGAGGGUGCAAGCAUUAUCCGGAUUCACUGGGUUUAAAGGGUGCGUAGGUGGGCAGGUAAGUCCGUGGUGAAAUCUCGACGCUCAACGUCGAGUCGGCCAUAGAUACUGUUGGGCUGGAGCACUGUAGAGGCUCAUGGAAUUCCGGGUGUAGCGGUGGAAUGCGUAGAGAUCCGGAAGAACACCGGUGGCGAAGGCGGUGAGCUGGGCAGUAGCUGACACUGAGGCGCGACAGCGUGGGGGAGCAAACAGGAUUAGAAACCCCGGG